GGAUACUCCUUUUCAUUUAAUGUGAUUUGGGAAACUUUUUGGCUAAGGGAUCGGCCUAUAUUGUAUCAUCUAGUUGGUGGGGUAANGAGCUUACCAAGGCAAUGACACAUAGCGGGUCUGAGAGGAUGAUCCGCCACACUGGUACUGAGACACGGACCAGACUCCUACGGGAGGCAGCAGUGGGGAAUAUUGCACAAUGGGGGAAACCCUGAUGCAGCAACGCCGCGUGGAGGAUGACACAUUUCGGUGCGUAAACUCCUUUUAUAUAAGAAGAUAAUGACGGUAUUAUAUGAAUAAGCACCGGCUAACUCCGUGCCAGCAGCCGCGGUAAUACGGAGGGUGCAAGCGUUAUUCGGAAUCACUGGGCGUAAAGGGUGCGUAGGCGGUUUGGAAAGUCAGAUGUGAAAGCCUAUGGCUUAACCAUAGAACUGCAUUUGAAACUUCCAGACUAGAAUACUGAAGGGGCAGAUGGAAUUAGUGGUGUAGGGGUAAAAUCCGUAGAUAUCACUAGGAAUACCCGAAAGCGAAAGCGAUCUGCUGGGAAGUUAUUGACGCUGAGGCACGAAAGCGUGGGGAGCAAACGGGAUUAGAUACCCCGGUAGUCCACGCCCUAAGCGAUGAAUGCUAGUCGUCGGGACGCUUGUCGUUUUCGGUGAUGCACUUUAACAGAUUAAGCCAUUCCGCCUGGGGAAGUACGGUCGCAAGAUUUAAAACUCAAAGGAAUAGACGGGGACCCGCACAAGUGGUGGAGCAUGUGGUUUAAUUCGAAGAUACGCGAAGAACCUUACCAAGCCUUGACAUUGAUUGAAUCUUUCAGAGAUGAGAGAGUACUGGCUUGCCAGAACAUGAAAACAGGUGCUGCACGGCUGUCGUCAGCUCGUGUCGUGAGAUGUUGGGUUAAGUCCCGCAACGAGCGCAACCCUCGUCGUUAGUUGCUAACAGUUCGGCUGAGCACUCUAGCGAGACUGCCUUCGCAAGGAGGAGGAAGGUGAGGACGACGUCAAGUCAUCAUGGCCCUUAUGGCUUGGGCUACACACGUGCUACAAUGGGGCGUACAGAGAGUUGCGAUACCGCGAGGUGGAGCUAAUCUCAUAAAGCGUCUCUCAGUUCGGAUAGGACUCUGCAACUCGAGUCCUUGGAGCUGGAAUCACUAGUAAUCGUAGAUCAGCAAUGCUACGGUGAAUACGUUCCCGGGUCUUGUACUCACCGCCCGUCACACCAUGGGAGUUGAUUUCACCCGAAAUCGGGAUGCCAAACUGGCUACCGCUUACG
rnacentral:rRNA from 1 species